rnacentral:rRNA from 1 species
ACGCAAUAGAUACCCGGGUAGUCCAUGCCGUAAACGUUGGGCACUAGGUGUGGGGGACAUUCCACGUUUUCCGCGCCGUAGCUAAACGCAUUAAGUGCCCCGCCUGGGGAGUACGGCCGCAAGGCUAAAACUCAAAGGAAUUGACGGGGGCCCGCACAAGCGGCGGAGCAUGCGGAUUAAUUCGAUGCAACGCGAAGAACCUUACCAAGGCUUGACAUGAACCGGACCGGGCUGGAAACAGUCUUUCCCCUUGUGGGCUGGUUUACAGGUGGUGCAUGGUUGUCGUCAGCUCGUGUCGUGAGAUGUUGGGUUAAGUCCCGCAACGAGCGCAACCCUCGUUCUAUGUUGCCAGCACGUGAUGGUGGGGACUCAUAGGAGACUGCCGGGGUCAACUCGGAGGAAGGUGGGGACGACGUCAAAUCAUCAUGCCCCUUAUGUCUUGGGCUUCACGCAUGCUACAAUGGCCGGUACAAAGGGUUGCGAUACUGUGAGGUGGAGCUAAUCCCAAAAAGCCGGUCUCAGUUCGGAUUGGGGUCUGCAAC